UCUCAUGUAGUUCAGUCGAUAAGGCAUCUGCCUGCAAUGCAGGAGACCUGGGUUCAAUUCCUGGGUUGGGAA
rnacentral:tRNA from 1 species